ensembl:lncRNA
CGCCGCUGCUUCCGCACUCGCACGCGGCCGAACAAGUCAGAUUUAGUGUGUUAAGACAAUCUCGGCAUGUAUACACGAUGCAUCAGACACACUGCCUCGUUAGCUCCUGUUAUCUUUCAAUGGUUGUCAAAGUCGCAGGGUUUUGAAGAUUACCACUACGCCACACUGCACCAAACGCUCCUCUGAAUUACAAAUGAAAACUGGACCUUUUCUACACGGCCGUCUCGUGAUGUGCAUCAAGUGCCCCAGUGAUCGUAACUUCUGAUUUCUCCUGAUUUCUCCUGAUACGUCUAACGUGACUUGGUUUGUAAACCUCAUGCAGCCCUUUUUAAACGUUGAGAUCCAUUACAAAUCAAACACUGCUUACAAUCCAGCAGCAUGGAGUGUGUCGAACAUACACAGCACACACACAUACACAGCACAUACACAGCACAUACACAACACAUACACAACACAUACACAGCACAUACACAGCACAUACACAGCACAUAUAAAACAAAUACACAGCACAUACACAGCACAUAUACUGCACAUACACAGCACAUACACAGCACAUACACAGCACACACACAGCACAUAUACAACACAUACACAGCACAUACACAGCACACAUACACAGCACAUAUAAAACAAAUACACAGCACAUACACAGCACAUAUACUGCACAUACACAGCACAUACACAGCACAUAUACAACAUACACAGCACACACACAGCACAUAUACAACACAUACACAGCACAUACACAGCACAUAUACUGCACAUACACAGCACAACACAGCACACACACAGCACAUAUACAACACAUACACAGCACACACACAGCACAUAUACAACACAUACACAGCACAUACACAGCACAUAUAAAACAAAUACACAGCACAUACACAGCACACUGCACAUACACAGCACAUACACAGCACACACACAGCACAUAUACAACACAUACACAGCACACACAGCACAUAUACAACACAUACACAGCACAUACACUGCACAUUUCACAGCACAUAUGCUGCACAUACACAACACAUAUACUGCACAUACACAACACAUAUACAACACAUAUACAACACAUACACUGCACACACACAGCACAUAUACAACACAUACACAGCACACACACUGCACAUACACAGUACAUAUGCAACACAUAUACUGCACAUACACUGCACAUACAUAGCACAUACACUGCACAUAUACAACACAUACACAGCACAUACACAGCACAUACACAGCACAUACACAGAACAUACACAGUACAUACACAGCACAUACACAGCACAUACACAGAACAUACACAGCACAUACACAGCACAUACACAU